CUAAGUGGCGCACGGGUGAGUAAUGUAUAGGUAAUAUGCCUCUUACUAAGGGAUAACAAUUGGAAACGAUUGCUAAUACCUUAUAUUCCUUUUUAUCAAAAGAUAAAAAGGGAAAGAUUUAUUGGUAAGAGAUUAGCCUGUAUUGUAUCAGUUAGUUGGUGGGGUAAUGGCCUACCAAGACGAUGACGCAUAACUGGUUUGAGAGGAUGAUCAGUCACACUGGAACUGAGACACGGUCCAGACUCCUACGGGAGGCAGCAGUGGGGAAUAUUGCACAAUGGACGAAAGUCUGAUGCAGCAACGCCGCGUGGAGGAUGACACAUUUCGGUGCGUAAACUCCUUUUAUAUAAGAAGAUAAUGACGGUAUUAUAUGAAUAAGCACCGGCUAACUCCGUGCCAGCAGCCGCGGUAAUACGGAGGGUGCAAGCGUUACUCGGAAUCACUGGGCGUAAAGAGCGUGUAGGCGGAUUGAUAAGUUUGAAGUGAAAUCCUAUAGCUUAACUAUAGAACUGCUUUGAAAACUGUUAAUCUAGAAUGUGGGAGAGGUAGAUGGAAUUUCUGGUGUAGGGGUAAAAUCCGUAGAGAUCAGAAGGAAUACCGAUUGCGAAGGCGAUCUACUGGAACAAUAUUGACGCUGAGACGCGAAAGCGUGGGGAGCAAACAGGAUUAGAUACCCUGGUAGUCCACGCCCUAAACGAUGUACACUAGUUGUUGUGAGGCUCGACCUUGCAGUAAUGCAGUUAACACAUUAAGUGUACCGCCUGGGGAGUACGGUCGCAAGAUUAAAACUCAAAGGAAUAGACGGGGACCCGCACAAGCGGUGGAGCAUGUGGUUUAAUUCGACGAUACACGAAGAACCUUACCUGGACUUGACAUAGUAAGAAUGAUUUAGAGAUAGAUUAGUGUCUGCUGCAGAAACU
rnacentral:rRNA from 2 species